rnacentral:rRNA from 1 species
GGCCCGCACAAGCGGUGGAGCAUGUGGUUUAAUUCGAUGCAACGCGAAGAACCUUACCUACUCUUGACAUCCACAGAAUUCGGCAGAGAUGCCUUAGUGCCUUCGGGAACUGUGAGACAGGUGCUGCAUGGCUGUCGUCAGCUCGUGUUGUGAAAUGUUGGGUUAAGUCCCGCAACGAGCGCAACCCUUAUCCUUUGUUGCCAGCGGUCCGGCCGGGAACUCAAAGGAGACUGCCAGUGAUAAACUGGAGGAAGGUGGGGAUGACGUCAAGUCAUCAUGGCCCUUACGAGUAGGGCUACACACGUGCUACAAUGGCGCAUACAAAGAGAAGCGACCUCGCGAGAGCAAGCGGACCUCAUAAAGUGCGUCGUAGUCCGGAUCGGAGUCUGCAACUCGACUCCGUGAAGUCGGAAUCGCUAGUAAUCGUAGAUCAGAAUGCUACGGUGAAUACGUUCCCGGGCCUUGUACACACCGCCCGUCACACCAUGGGAGUGGGUUGCAAAAGAAGUAGGUAGCUAACCUCGGAGGCGCUAACACUUUGAUUACUGCC